GUCCCUUCGUGGACAUCCGAUAAAAUUGGAACGAUACAGAGAAGAUUAGCAUGUGCCCUGCGCAAGGAUGACACGCUUAAAUCGAGAUAUGAUCCAAAUUUAUAAUGCAAACAUUUUUCGGAUCGAUUAAACACAGUUUCUUGUGUCACAGUUUUUUUGUACUUGUUUAAUUAGUGAACGAACGAACAUAUACAAUUUGGCUAACAAAAACGCAAUUUUUUU